rnacentral:rRNA from 1 species
GACGAACGCUGGCGGCGUGCUUAACACAUGCAAGUCGAACGGAAAGGCCCUGCUUUUGUGGGGUGCUCGAGUGGCGAACGGGUGAGUAACACGUGAGUAACCUGCCCUUGACUGUGGGAUAACUUCAGGAAACUGGGGCUAAUACCGGAUAGGAGCUCCUGCUGCAUGGGGGGGGUUGGAAAGUUUCGGCGGUUGUGGAUGGACGCGCGGCUUAUCAGCUGGUUGGUGGGGUAGUGGCUUACCAAGGCUUUGACUGGUAGCCGGCCUGGGAGGGUGACCGGCCACAUUGGGACUGAGGUACGGCCCAGACUCCUACGGGAGGCAGCAGUGGGGAAUAUUGCACAAUGGGCGGAAGCCUGAUGCAGCAGCGCCGCGUGCGGGAUGACGGCCUUCGGGUUGUAAACCGCUUUCGCCUGUGACGAAGCGUGAGUGACGGUAAUGGGUAAAGAAGCACCGGCUAACUACGUG